rnacentral:rRNA from 1 species
CCUACGGGUGGCUGCAGUGGGGAAUAUUGGACAAUGGGCGAAAGCCUGAUCCAGCCAUGCCGCGUGUGUGAAGAAGGCCUUCGGGUUGUAAAGCACUUUCAGUGGGGAAGAAAGCCUUGGGGCUAAUACCCUCGAGGAAGGACAUCACCCACAGAAGAAGCACCGGCUAACUCCGUGCCAGCAGCCGCGGUAAUACGGAGGGUGCGAGCGUUAAUCGGAAUUACUGGGCGUAAAGCGCGCGUAGGCGGCCUGAUAAGCCGGUUGUGAAAGCCCCGGGCUCAACCUGGGAACGGCAUCCGGAACUGUCAGGCUAGAGUGCAGGAGAGGAAGGUAGAAUUCCCGGUGUAGCGGUGAAAUGCGUAGAGAUCGGGAGGAAUACCAGUGGCGAAGGCGGCCUUCUGGACUGACACUGACGCUGAGGUGCGAAAGCGUGGGUAGCAAACAGGAUUAGAUACCCGAGUAGUC